GUCUCCGUGGCGCAAUUGGCUAGCGCGUCUGACUGUUAUACUUUGGUAUGAUAAGUCAUCAGGAGGUUCCUGGUUCGAGCCCAGGCGGGGACG
rfam:Magnaporthe poae ATCC 64411 unplaced genomic scaffold supercont1.5, whole genome shotgun sequence.